rnacentral:rRNA from 1 species
AGUGAACGCUGGCGGUAGGCCUAACACAUGCAAGUCGAACGGCAGCACAGUAAGAGCUUGCUCUUACGGGUGGCGAGUGGCGGACGGGUGAGGAAUACAUCGGAAUCUACUUUUUCGUGGGGGAUAACGUAGGGAAACUUACGCUAAUACCGCAUACGACCUACGGGUGAAAGCAGGGGAUCUUCGGACCUUGCGCGAUUGAAUGAGCCGAUGCCGGAUUAGCUAGUUGGCGGGGUAAAGGCCCACCAAGGCGACGAUCCGUAGCUGGUCUGAGAGGAUGGUCAGCCACACUGGAAGUGAGACACGGUCCAGACUCCUACGGGAGGCAGCAGUGGGGAAUAUUGGACAAUGGGCGCAAGCCUGAUCCAGCCAUACCGCGUGGGUGAAGAAGGCCUUCGGGUUGUAAAGCCCUUUUGUUGGGAAAGAAAAGCAGCAGGUUAAUACCCCGCUGUUCUGACGGUACCCAAAGAAUAAGCACCGGCUAACUUCGUG